GGCGCUAUAUACUGCCGUACUGCUCCUCGUCCAGUCUGGUGAAUGAGGCAAGCGAUACUUAAGAAGGAAACAUUUUAUCAUUUCUGUAAAAUACAUGUGGACAGUGUUCACUGUGGAAAGGCGCUAUAUAAUGACACCUUAUUUCUGGUGCAGUCCAGGGAAUGAGGCGGUUAACCCAUUUAAUCCAUCCAUCCAUUAUCCAACCUGCUAUAUCCUAACUACAGGGUCACUGGGGGGUCUGCUGGAGCCAAUCCCAGCCAACACAGGGCGCAAGGCAGGAAACAAACCCCGGGCAGGGUGCCAGCCCACCACAGGGCCCACACACACACCCACCAGACACCAAGCACACACUAGGGACAAUUUAGGAUCACCAAUGCACCCAACCUGCAUGUCUUUGGACUGUGGGAGGAAACCCACGCAGACACGGGGAGAACAUGCAAACUCCACGUAGGGAGGACCCGGGAAGCGAACCACAGGUCUCCUAUACUGCGAAACAGCAGCGCUACCCACUGCGCCACCCCUCAUUUAAUAUAUAUGUUUAUUAACAGAUAGAGAGAAAGAAAGGCACUAUAUAAUUAAUAGAUAGAUAGAUAUGAAAGGCACAAUAUAAAUUAUGGAUAGAUGGAAAACUAGAUAGGCACUAUAUAAUUUAUUAUAAGUAUAUAGAUAGGCAAUAUAUGAGAGAGAUAGGUAGGCACAAUAUAAUUUAUGGAUAAAUAGAAAUAUAGAAAGGCACUAUGUAAUUUAUGAAUAGAUUGAAAGGAACAAAAAUAAUUUAUAGAUAGAUUUUUAGGUAGAUAGAUGGGGUGAAAGGUGCUAUAUAAUAGACAGAUAGGCACACUAUAUAGAUAGAUAAGCACAAUAUAAUUUAUGGAUAGAUAGAUUAAUAGAAAGGCACUAUAUAAUUUAUGACUAGAUUGAAAGGCACAAAAAUAAUUUAUAGUUAGAUAGAAAGGCACUAUAUAAGAGAGAGAUAGGAAAAGCACUAUAUAAUAUUUAAAACUUGAUUUGUCCCCAGUGAGAAAUUUGGCUUUUUACAGGAGCUCUUUAAAUAAAUAAAUACAUAAAUAGGUAGCUAUGUGCAUACAUGAAUAAAUAAAUAAAUAAACACACACUGGAAUGACUAUAAAGCAAGGGGAUUCAAAUGGAAAAAAAAAAAGAAAAAAGUCCCAGUGAGACGCUAUACAGAUGUACCUAUUGUUGAUAUGUCUGAGACCCCAUUGUGUUUCCUGACUCACUUCUGCUGAACGCUUCAUUGGCUGAAAGUCCUGUGUUGGUGUGUCACAGAGAGGGUGUGUAGCGUUGGUCAUAAUGACACUCUCUAUGACCUCCGCGGGUCCAGAGUGUUUCCCAUCACUGAUCCUACCCUUUUAAUUAGCCCGUUGAUUCAGUGGGCCCCUCUUGAAGUGAAGUUAUCAGCCCAGCACAUGUUCAGGGCAGAUUGUUUUAUUCGAGGCUCCCACCCUUCUGUAGGCCUAUAAAAGACAGAAAAGGACUAGCGUGACAGCAGCAUUGUUUGACCAGGUUGACCCACCUGAAACUGCGCGUGUGAGUUUUUGCAGGUUACAUAAAGUCCACGGUUGCAGAUUUAAUCUGAAAUUCUGUGCGCAAGGUCAUGAAUACCAGUAGUUGUUUUUACUUUACUGUAAACGCUUCAGGUUUCCAGUCGGAGUGCUUUCUUAAAGAUGGUGAGAGAUGGUGUGGUCUGAUAGACAUUACCUCAGGCUGGAAAUGUGGGCUUUCCAGUUAGAGGGGCUUUCGUAACUGUGAAUUAGGGCAGCCUGUAGCUGGAGUGAAGUCCCGUUUACACUGUAUGUUCAAAUCUCAAGUUAUUUGUCCAAGGGGAAAUGCAAGGGGGUAUAAGUAAAAGUGUGUGGCCUUUAACAAAGUCUGAGGCAAUUGUUCAAUAAUGUAACAGUGCCCCCUACAGGCCUCAACUUGUUAUAAAAGUAGCCGGAAAAUGAUCAUGUUACUAGUGAAAUACACAGAACCUGUGCUUUUGAAAUUAAAGGUUAUAGCACAUCAAAGACAAAUAAAUAGACAGAAAAGGAUAAAUAGAAAAGGCACCUUUUAAUAAAUAGAUAGAAAAGGAUAAAUAGAAAAGGCACUAUAUAAUAAAUAGAAAAGGAUAAAUAGAAAAGGCACUAUAUAAGAAAUAGAAAAAGAUAAAUAGAAAAGGCACUAUAUAAUAAAUAGAAAAGGAUAAAUAGAAAAGGCACUAUAUAAUAAAUAGAAAAAGAUAAAUAAAUAGAAAAGGCACUAUAUAAUAAAUAGAAAAGGCACUAUAUAAUAAAUAUAGAAAAAGAUAAGUAGAAAAGGCACUAUAUAAUAAACAAAAGGAUAAA